rnacentral:tRNA from 1 species
ACCUAUAUAGCUUAUAGUAGAGCAUUGUGUUGAAGCCGCAAGGGAAACAGUAUUUGUUUAUAGGUA